rnacentral:rRNA from 4 species
AAAUUGAAGAGUUUGAUCAUGGCUCAGAUUGAACGCUGGCGGCAGGCCUAACACAUGCAAGUCGAACGGUAACAGGAAGCAGCUUGCUGCUUCGCUGACGAGUGGCGGACGGGUGAGUAAUGUCUGGGAAACUGCCUGAUGGAG